CCUACGGGGGGCAGCAGUGGGGAAUAUUGCACAAUGGGGGAAACCCUGAUGCAGCGACGCCGCGUGAGUGAAGAAGUAAUUCGUUACGUAAAGCUCUAUCAGCAGGGAAGAAACACUGACCUUACGGUCAGCAGACGGUACCUGAGUAAGAAGCCCCGGCUAACUACGUGCCAGCAGCCGCGGUAAUACGUAGGGGGCAAGCGUUAUCCGGAUUUACAUGGUGUAAAGGGAGCGUAGACGGUGCGCCAAGUCUGGAGUGAAAUGCCGCAGCUUAACUGCGGAACUGCUUUGGAAACUGGCGAACUAGAGUGCGGGAGGGGUAAGCGGAAUUCCUAGUGUAGCGGUGAAAUGCGUAGAUAUUAGGAGGAACACCGGUGGCGAAGGCGGCUUACUGGACCGUAACUGACGUUGAGGCUCGAAAGCGUGGGGAGCAAACAGGAUUAGAUACCCCAGUAGUC
rnacentral:rRNA from 1 species